AUUGAACGCUGGCGGCAGGCUUAACACAUGCAAGUCGAGCGGGGUGAUGGUGCUUGCACUAUCACUUAGCGGCGGACGGGUGAGUAAUGCUUAGGAAUCUGCCUAUUAGUGGGGGACAACAUCUCGAAAGGGAUGCUAAUACCGCAUACGUCCUACGGGAGAAAGCAGGGGAUCACUUGUGACCUUGCGCUAAUAGAUGAGCCUAAGUCGGAUUAGCUAGUUGGUGGGGUAAAGGCCUACCAAGGCGACGAUCUGUAGCGGGUCUGAGAGGAUGAUCCGCCACACUGGGACUGAGACACGGCCCAGACUCCUACGGGAGGCAGCAGUGGGGAAUAUUGGACAAUAGGGGGAACCCUGAUCCAGCCAUGCAGCGUGUGUGAAGAAGGCCUUAUGGUUGUAAAGCACUUUAAGCGAGGAGGAGGCUCUUUUGGUUAAUACCCAAGAUGAGUGGACGUUACUCGCAGAAUAAGCACCGGCUAACUCUGUGCCAGCAGCCGCAGUAA
rnacentral:rRNA from 1 species